rnacentral:ncRNA from 1 species
GACCUACGACAGGGGAGCGUCGUCGCCCGGCCACGGCCGGAAACUUCGACGCUGAGAGUGCGGAUCACCGCAGACCCUCGAACCUGCUCCGGCUCGUACCGGCGAAGGGAGUCGAGAAUCUCAGGAC